rnacentral:lncRNA from 1 species
GCUGACCUUAUCCACGCUCGAUGGGCAUGACACCUCAGGCAACCUAAUGUUAACCGUUUGAAGCAGGGGAGGUUGAGACCUUAAAAACUUGUUCAUCUCAUUCCAUAUACUUAAACGUCAACUCAACCGGGCCCGAGGAGCAGCAUUGGGGGUGGGGGGGGGUAGCGGAGCCACAGGGAAGACCCCAGAGGGACACAGGCUGCGGGGGAGCACCCACACCGGCAGCCAUCAUGGGAGAGGGGAGCAGGGGCCACAGGGAAGGCCCCAGAGGGACCCAUGCCACGGGGGGAGCACCCACACCAGCAGCCACCAUGGGAGAGGGGAGCAGAGGCCACAGGGAAGGCCCCAGAUGGAGACAGGCCGUGGGGGGGGAGCACCCACACCAGCAGCCACCCCAGGGGAGAGGGGAGCAGGGGCCACAGGGAAGGCCCCAGAGGGACCCAGGUUGCGGGAUGGAGCACCCACCCCAGGGGAGAGGGGAGCACCUGAAUCAGGAGUCACCGGCCACCAUCCACCCUGCAGCAGCUUGGAGGAAAGCCAGUGGGCCUCAACCUCAUCCCUCAAGUUGUGUCAAUCUGCAGGCCCAGGCAAACAGGAGCAGGAGGACAGGAAGAUGUUUGCUGGCCCGAAUCCCAAGUGGCACUGAGGUAAGACCUCCCCCACACUAACUUACACAGAACAUAAUCCCACCCACACACUGUUUCCCAUCCAAUCCCAUGCAUCUAUCCCCACACUCCUACAUGUGCCCUUGUCCGCUUAGCUGCGCUUUUUAUGGAUUUCAAGGCAUCCAUUUGACAUCCAUUUGGCAUCCAUACUUAUGAUUUUACGUGUCAGCGUUGAAUGCUGUACAUCACUAUGUGCUGUUUUUUUCUUACUUUAUAGCAUCUAGCUGUAUCCCUAUUGUUAUCCAUAUCCAUUCAAUUCAACGGAGGCUCUAGAGGUUAGGUACAUCUAUCUAUGUAUCUGUUAUUAUUUGAUGAUAAGUAGAAUUGUUUGUUUGCCAGUUUCUUUUCCCGCUGUAACUUAUCUGCUGGUGCUGGUGCUGAGUGCUGGUGGUGAGUUAUAAAAAAUAGCCCUCCUACCAGCACCUCACUAAAUUAUAAAGUAUCCCAUUCAUUAUAUGGCCAAAUGAAAAUGAUGUCCAAAUUCCUACUCCUUAUGUUACUUGCCCUUGCAAAUGAUGUGGAGUCUAACCCUGGUCCCCCAGCUAAUUCUAGUCCUAAUCUCCCCACUAAAAAAGGCCUCUCUUUUGUGCACUGCAACAUCCAUAGUUUACUCCCUAAACUGGAUGCUCUGCAAGCCUGGUGUUCCCAUUACAAACCAAAAAUCAUUGUGCUCUCAGAAUCAUGGUUAACAAUUAAAAUACCAGAUACUGCCAUUGCAAUACAGGGGUAUUCAUGUUUUAGAAAUGACAGAGCAAAGAGAGGGGGAGGCAUUGUCAUUUAUGUUGACAAUUCCAUAAAGUUUACCCCCUUACAAAACUUUAGUCCUCCUGCCACCUUUGAUUUCCUUUCUGGCACAAUUGAGAUCCCGUGCAGUAAAUCAAUCAUUGUUGUAGGAAUCUACCGCCGACCUAACUCCCCUGUGCAUUCCCUUUCUGACAUAGCCCAUCUCCUUAGUGAAACCAUAGCUCAAAACCCAAAAAGUGAACUGUUGGUCUUUGGAGAUUUUAAUAUUGAUUGGCUGAACCCUAAAAAUAAUAGUUCUUGCACGCUGUUUAAGACUUUGCAGCUAACGCAAUUAAUCUCCUCCCCAACUCGCAUAAACAUUAAAAGCCAUAACCAUACCCGACUCGAUUGGAUUCUCUCCACUUCUCCUGAUAGAAUCCAGUUUCAGUGAUUACUGUUUGGUGUACUGUGUGCGCAAAAUAAAGGCUACUAAAUCCUCUCCCAAGUUAAAAUCACCAGGUCUUAAUGAUAUCAAGAACCUCCCAUGGCACAGAUUAAACAUUAUCCCAGAUCUAGGCUGUGCAGCUGAAUUCUUUCAGCCUGAACUCCUACAAGUUUGGAAUUUGCAUACCCCGCUGCGUAAGGUGAGAGUAAAAGGGGCACAUAUAAACUGGAUCACAGCUGACCUCAUCCAAAUGUACCAGUUUCGGGAUUUAUUGUGUUCAAAGUUCAAGCGUACUGGCUCUAUGAACGAUCAUUGUGCAUAUAGACAAUGGUGAAAUAUAUGCACAAAACAAACAAAAUUGGCCAAGGCCCAAUAUUUCUGUGAACAUCUGAUUAAUAACCUAUAAAACCCUAGAAACUUUUGGAAAGUCAUAAAUAAAUGACAAACUCCCCCAAUCUACUCCCAACCCUCCACUGUCAAAAUGGAUAACUAAACCCUGCAACUUCCAUUGGAUGUAGCAAAUGCCUUCAACAAUAAUUUUGUCGUAUGCUCCACUGCCCUGAUUGCCAAGCUAAUAAAUGACACGCAUCCUGAAACUACAAAUGUGGAUCAAGCCCAGCUACAUUUGCAAAGGCCCAAUAAAGACAAGUUCAUUUUUAGACCUGUACCUAUUAGUGUCAUUAAAAACACCUUAAUAAUAAAAAAAUGAAAAACCAGUCUGGACCUGAUCAAAUCCCAGCAAUGCUGUUGAAGCUCAGUGCACCGGCAAUUGCUAAACCUGUCGCAACCUUAUUUAACAAAUCCUUGGUGUCAUACCCAAACUUUGGACGACUGGCACUCCGGCAGGCGGUGGCGGAGGUGCGGGUAGCUAAGAAGGUUACGCUCCGGGCGCUUCUGUCUCUGCUGGGUCGGCUAAACUUCGCCUGUCGGGUGAUUCCGGUCGGACGGGUUUUUAACAGGUUCCUAGCCAGGGCGACGGGGGGGUGGGGGGUGGUGUUCCCGCACCACCUUAUUCGGGUAUCAGGGGCCAUGAAGGCCGAUCUGGACAUCUGGGGGGAAUUCUUGCGGUACUUUAACGGGAAGGUGUUCUUUCGGGAGCCAGCGGCGUCUUCUCAGGAGUUGGAGCUGUUCACAGACGCGUUGGGGAGUGUCGGUUUUGGGGCUUACUUUUGGUCAAUGGUGCAUGGGAACUUGGCCAAGGGCCUGGAAGGCCAGCCUGCUGAUAUGCAACUUGGCGUUCCUGGAAUUGUUCCCGUUAUUAGUAGUUCUGUCACUAUGGGGUCCACAGCUGAGGGAUAAGAAGGUGGUAUUCUUUUCGGACAAUAUGGCAGUGGUAGAUGCAGUGAACGGGCUAUCAGCAUCCUCUAUCCCGGUGGUGCGGCUUCUUCGCCGUUUUGUCUUGUUCUGUAUGAGGUUUAACAUUGUUUUUCGGGCACGCCGGGACUGUUGAAUGUUAUUGCUGAUGCAUUAUCUCGUUCGCAGUGGGAGAGGUUCUGGCAGGUGGCACCUGGCACGCGGGAGGAAGGGAUGUCUUGCCCAGACGAGAUGUGGCGGCUCGGGACAUCAUGUUUGGCGGACUGAUCAGGGAUUCCCUGGCACCCGCUACCUGGACGGCGUACAGUAAGGUGUGGGGGGCAUGGGACGAACUGGUGCUACAGACAGCUCUCAAGGGAGGCACGGUUGGACGCGCUGCUGUGGCUCUUGUGUAGGUCAGUCACCACAGGGGCUUUGGCAGCGGUGGUAGGGCGUAAGCUGUCAGUGCUAGCCUUCUUGUUCAAAUUUAACAGGUGGGAGGAUGCUACCAAACAUUUUCUUCUUAGGCAAGCACUGAAAGGUUUCAGGAGGGGUAAGGUGUCAAUGGAUUCUUGGAGGCCGGUGUCGUUCGAGUUGCUUCAGUGGGUGGUCCGGGUGCUGCCCGCGGUAUGUUUUUCAGGAUACGAAGUUACAAUGUUUUCCGUGGUUUUUAGCUUUGCCUUUUUCGGGGCAUUUCAUGUCAGCGAGCUGGUUAGCAGCAAUCGCCAGGGGGCCGGGGGGCUUCGGGCGGUGGACGUGAAAGUGUGGAGUAACAAGGUAGUGAUUAACCUGAGGCGGUCCAAAACGGAUGUAAUGGGGAAGGGAACAUUGGUUACGUUGUGGGAGCUCCUGGGUGGGAGAACGUGCCCGGUUAAGUGUGCAACGGCCUUCCGGGAGGUACGGGCAAUGGCUGGGGGUUCAUAUUUUAAGCAUGAGGACGGCUCUAUCGAAGUUCCAGUUCCUCAGGGUUUUUCGGAAGGCGUUGGCAAGGGUGGGAGUGGAUCCGGGCCAAUUCGGGACACAUUCUUUCAGGAUUGGUGCAGCUACUGAAGCGGCGAGACUAGGCUUGGGUGACGAACAGGUGAAAAGGAUUGGCAGGUGGGAGUCGCUGAGGUUCAUGUCUUACAUUAGGCCAGACAAGUUGGUAUAAGGUUAAGGGUGGUUAAUGGGGAAUGUUGGUUUGGUGGUUGUUUGUGGUUGUCUAUGUUUGCUUUAUGUUUUACAGGUCGGAUGGCAUGGGUGGUCGGCCUCUCAUACAUAUACUGGGCGCAAUGGAGAGCUGCAGUUCAACGUCAUGGUCUACAGCUGGGCUUUCCAAGUUCCGUGGUGCAGCUUCGGUGGUUUGGUUACCGGGGCUGGGGUUGGAAUGCUAUAUGUGAUGAAAUGUUUCACAAAAUUCUUUUGGGACAGGUUCCGGACAUAGUGGUGCUUCACGCACGGGGCAAUGAUGUGGGGUCAUUACCUCAAAAGGUUUUGAUCGAAUGUAUGAAGAGGGAUGUGGACAAAUUAAGGGAGUUAGUGCCGGGGGUUAUGGUGGUAUGGUCGGAGAUGGUUCCGAGGUUGUACUGGCGGCACGCGCGGAAUCACUCCGCGGUGGCGAAGAUUAAGUGUAAGGUUAAUAAGGUGAUGGCAGCGUAUGUGAAGCGGUCAGGGGGGUUGUGAUUAGGUACAGGGAGUUGGAAGACAUGCUUCCAGGUUAUUAUAGGCGUGAAGGGGUCCAUCUGUCCAAUGUGGGUUUGGACUUUUUGUUGCUGGGUUUCCAGGAGGGCCUCCAGAGGGCCUCCAGAGGAGUCGAGCUCUGAGCUGUGGUGGGGGAUGGAGAGUAAAGCUGGGGGGAGAAAAGAGUGAGAUAGGGAAAAAGUUUGGAGUUCAGGGCUGGUUUGGUAGGUUCGAGCUUGUAGGUAGCUCCGAACCGGGGUGUGUAUGGGGUGUCUCGGUAUGCCCCUACACUUGUGGUGCCCUUUGGUGGCAAUGGUCAUGUUUCAUGUUAAGUAAAAUGUUACAAUGUUUGGGUAUUAUGUUAUGUGGGGGUGGGUCAUUGUCAAGGGGUUAAAUUGUAAACUGCAGGAUGUUAAUUGUGCAGGCCAACGUUGGCCUGCUGUUGACAAUGACCUUUAUAAUUUAUGUUAAAUAUCAAAUAAAGC